rnacentral:rRNA from 1 species
UACGUAGGGUGCGAGCGUUGUCCGGAAUUAUUGGGCGUAAAGGGCUCGUAGGCGGUUUGUCGCGUCGGGAGUGAAAUCCACUGGCUUAACUGGUGGCUUUCUUUCGAUACGGGCAGACUGGAGGUAUGCAGGGGAGAACGGAAUUCCUGGUGUAGCGGUGAAAUGCGCAGAUAUCAGGAGGAACACCGGUGGCGAAGGCGGUUCUCUGGGCAUGUCCUGACGCUGGGGAGCGAAAGCAUGGGGAGCGAACAGG